UGUGAGGCUGCAGCAGA
rnacentral:misc_RNA from 1 species